UCUGGACUGCCCAUAUGGGUGGGACCAGUCUGAUAUGUUUCAGAGAUGUUCUUUCUGUAAUGGCACAAGAUGAGCAAAAACCAGCUUGAGAACUGAGCGCGGACCCACCGAAGGGCAGGCUAUUUCAGCUGCUGCCCGUUCUCAGUAUUCUCUUGCGACCCAUUUUUUUGCUCUCCUCAAGUUUAAAGGGUAAUCCAGACGUGGAGCCCUUGCUCACGGU
rnacentral:lncRNA from 1 species